rnacentral:misc_RNA from 1 species
GAUGAAGAACGCAGCGAAAUGCGAUAAGUAAUGUGAAUUGCAGAAUUCAGUGAAUCAUCGAAUCUUUGAACGCACAUUGCGCCCCCUGGUACUCCGGGGGGCAUGCCUGUCCGAGCGUCAUUACAACCCUCAAGCUCAGCUUGGUGUUGGGCCCCGCCGCCCCGGCGGGCCCUAAAGUCAGUGGCGGUGCCGUCCGGCUCCGAGCGUAGUAAUUCUUCUCGCUCUGGAGGUCCGGUCGUGUGCUCGCCAGCAACCCCCAAUUUUUUUCAGGUUGACCUCGGAUCAGGUAGGGAUACCCGCUGAACUUAAGCAUAUCAAUAAGCGGAGGA